AAGUUGUUGCGGUUAAAAGCUCGUAGUUGGAGUUCUGCCAGGUGACGCUCGUCCGCCCAAGUGGUGUGUACAGGGCGCGCAUCUGGCCCCUUCAAGGGGAACGUGUUGCACUUUAUUGUGUGGCGCGAGAUCCUUGACUUUUACUUUGAGGAAAUAAGAGUGUUCCAAGCAGGCUCUCGUCGUGCAUAGCUCAGCAUGGAAUAAUAGCAUUGGACUUCGUUUCUACGCUGUUGGUUGCAAGAAGCGAGGUAAUGAUGAAGAGGGAUAGUUGGGGGCAUUCGUAUUUAACUGUCAGAGGUGAAAUUCUUUUUUUUGUUAAAGACGGACUACUGCGAAAGCAUCUGCCAUGGAUGUUUUCAUUGAUCAAGAACGAAAGUUAGGGGAUCGAAGACGAUCAGAUACCGUCCUAGUCUUAACUAUAAACCAUGCCGGCUAGAGAUCGGAGGUCGUUCAAUUUGUGACACCUUCAGCAUCUUGAGAGAAAUCAAAGCCUUUGGGUUCCGGGGGGAGUAUGGUCGCAAGGCUGAAACUUAAAGGAAUUGACGGAAGG
rnacentral:rRNA from 1 species